CACGUAGGGCGCGAGCGUUGUCCGGAUUUAUUGGGCGUAAAGAGCUCGUAGGCGGCUUGUCGCGUCGACUGUGAAAGCCCGCGGCUCAACCGCGGGUCUGCAGUCGAUACGGGCAGGCUAGAGUUCGGUAGGGGAGACUGGAAUUCCUGGUGUAGCGGUGAAAUGCGCAGAUAUCAGGAGGAACACCGAUGGCGAAGGCAGGUCUCUGGGCCGAUACUGACGCUGAGGAGCGAAAGCGUGGGGAGCGAACAGG
rnacentral:rRNA from 1 species